GGGACGUCAUCGAUCCGCGCCUCCUGCGCUCCACCAAUCGCGUGUCGUCAUGGCCACUACAUUACCCCUCCGCCUCUCCAAUCGUGUCUCUCUACCUGUUCCUUCUCUCUCCCUCUCCAAUCCUCUCUCACUCCAAUCCUCUCCCCUCCUCUUUCCCCAGCGCGCGAGGAUCAGAGUCUGGCCAUGCCCCUCCGCCUCUACUUCCUCCCCCACGCAGCCCCAUUUCAGCCUUGGUAGCCGCGACCAGGGCCUCUCCAAGAGUUACAUUUUUUUUUGCGAUUUUCCGGUGGAUUUUCUGGUUCUUGUUGUGCAGCAGCAUGAAGACGUUCACCAUGAGCAGGAGCAGCGGCGCAGUCAACUUCGGGUGCGAGAGCGGUAGAGCAACGGCUGCGCAGGGCUGCACUCAUGGCGGCACGUGGCCAAGGCGGGGGUGCUGUGGCAGACAUGAGGGCAGGCGGCGCGAGCUGCUUCCGCAGCACGGCCGGCCGCGGAGCACAGAGCGUCGACAACGGCGUAGGGCCGCGGCUGCACACGGUGGGGCGGCGCGGAGGGCAGUGCGCCGACCUCCGGCGGCGACGCGGACGCGCACGCGUAGCGGCGGUUUUUUUUAUUUUUUUAAUUGAUUACUAGGGGCGGGUGAUUGGGUCAUCUGUCCCUAGAAAUCGAUUUCCCGUCUCUAAAAAUCGAUUUCUAAGGACGGGUAAUGUACCCGCUCCUGCAAACAGUUAUUUUUAGCUGUGGAAAGCAGGGGCGGGUGCGACGUCCGCCCUUAAAAAUACUAUUUCA